rnacentral:lncRNA from 1 species
CUAUAUAAAAGUGUUUAUAUAUAUAAACAUAUAUAUGUAUAUAUAUCAGCUUUACAUUAAAACAUCCCGUUCAUUAAUAUAUCAGUACAUACAGUAGAUUUUGGACAGGGAAAAAGUACAUAGGAUGUAUUAAUGAGAAACUAGUGUCUGGCCAUGUGAAAGAAAAAAAAUUUCACUUUUCAUGUUUUACGUGGCCCUAAUCAAUACAUAAAUCCUGUAUUUCUAUGAAAAAGCAUGAUAUAGAUAAGUGAAGAAACAAAUGCAUGAAUAACUUAUUAGAGUCUGAAGAUAAACGAAAUUAACAACUCCAGUCAUUCUCUUAGGCACCCGAUACUGCAUUGUGUGCAAACCUACGGUUUCGUUUAAUAGUCUUAAGCCCUUAAUGAAUCUAUUAUCUACAUUUGCAUCUGAGGAAUCUGAAAACCAUGAAGGUUAAGUAACUUCACCAACGUGCCACACCUGCUGAGUAGUGAGUUACUCUUCAAACUCGUGAUGUCCGGCUCCAAAGCCUCAGUUUCUUCCAUUAAACCAUCGUAUUAGGAGGUGUGAAAAUGAGACAGCUACAAGUAUGUUUAAAAUUACAAGUAAUAAUAUUACAUUUGCAACAAGAGCGUUCAACAGAACAGGAGUUUAUGCCCUGGAAGAAGUUCAGUCUUAAGGUCCAUUUUCACUUACUCAAAUUAGAUGGAUUGGAGCAUUACACACAUUACAAGAAAAUGUAAGUAUGCAACUGUCUUACUUAUCUAGAUUUUUUAAGUGAAUUAGAGUGAAUUCUGAAUUUUCUGUUUUACAGAGU